rnacentral:lncRNA from 1 species
UCGCGAUUCAGCAUUAUUAUUAAUAAAGGUAUUCUGCCACACAAUUAAUCGCGGGCAGGUUGCAUGUGCUCUCUGGUCCGGGCAUCCAGGCUGAUUAGUGCGCACAACAAUACAUGCAGAGAAAUUCACAUGAGAUGAAAUGGAUCAGCCGAGGCAAGCAAGCCCGCGCGAUGGCAUUUCGAUCGGGCAGCUGAGUUAAUUAAUUGAAGCCAAACCAACUACCAGUGCUAAUCAGAUCGUAGUAGAUGAAAAUUAACCCUCCUGCAUCCAGCAUCCCUGAUGCAGCGUUGCUAGAACUGAGUUGAAGAAGUUCUCCUGUGUGGGCUGCCCUGCUUGUUGCUUGGCUGCUGGGCGUUGAGUGCAGCAAUCUCAGAUUGAAGCUGAAGAGAUGGAGAAAGAAACGUGGGAUUGAGUUCACAAAUUACUCAUGCACAAGCAAGCAAGCAAGCAAGAAAGAGAGAGAGAGAGAGAGAGAGAUUGAACUGGAAGAAGAAGAAGAGAAGAAGGCGUACCUGCUUGCACUGUCUCUUGAGUUUGAGGUUGUCCUCGACGAGCCGGCGGACCUCCUUCUCGAGCUCCUGCGUGUAGGCCCUCUUCCUGGCCCUGGACCGCAGAGCCGACUCCCUGUUCUUCAUCGCCCGGACGCUCUUCUGGCCGUCGUCGCUGCUGACGGCCAGGUGCUGGUCCUCCCCGCCGGUGCCGAUGCUGAGGGAGAGGGAGGGCAGGCGGGCCGGCCGAANNNNNNNNNNNNNNNNNNNNNNNNNNNNNNNNNNNNNNNNNNNNNNNNNNNNNNNNNNNNNNNNNNNNNNNNNNNNNNNNNNNNNNNNNNNNNNNNNNNNAAAACAGUAGCAACAAAAUGACACGAUCAACAUGCUACGUCUAUUAGUUUGGGUCUAGUCCAUCACAUGGUUCUCCUAAUGAUGUGAUCCCGUUAUCAAGUGACAACACUUGCCUAUGACCAGGAAACCUUGACCAUCUUUGAUCAACGAGCUAGUCAACUAGAGGCUUACUAGGGACAGUGUUUUGUCUAUGUAUCCACACAAGUAUCGUGUUUCCAAUCAAUACUAUUAUAGCAUGGAUAAUAAACGAUUAUCAUGAACUAAGAAAUAUAAUAAUAACUAAUUUAUUAUUGCCUCUAGGGCAUAUUUCCAACACUUUUGAGGUUGGUCCAAUCGAGUUAGUUGUAGCCCUUGAGUUUCUCUAGCAUGCUGUGAAUUUUCAUGCCAUUUGGAGACCUGUAGCUUAUGGUUUUGCUGCUGUCAAUAUAGCUUCAGAUCAAAAACUGCACUUUCAUGAGGUGUAAUUUUCACUAAGUCUGAAAUAGUGUGUGAGAUGCCAUUUUGUGUCUUCUUUCCCUAGUGAUCCAUGAUGUCAUGCUAGUUGUUGUUAGUUGUUUGUAGUAGUGCCGCUUGCCCUCUUUCGUGUCAUGCCUUGCUUGAGUUUAUCGGAGUUGUGUAGCCCGUAGUUGUGGGGCGUAGAAAAUGCUAUGUGGCUGAUUUUGGCAGAUUGUAGUGAUUUCUUGUUUUGCUCGUAGUUGUUGAAUCGUAGCUCCGAUUGGGUCGUGUCCUACAUGAAACUUGCUUAGAAUCUCAUGUAGUUUCAUUUUCUCUUGCUGUUUGUAUGUUUUGAAGUGCUCGUGACCGUCGUUGCACACAUUUUGCAUUCAUGUCAUCAUAUCUUGUGGUGUUCGUAUCUUUUGAUCUGUAGCUCCGUUGGAGAUGUUCUUUAUGUGUAGAUUGCUUGAAAUGACGCGUAGAAUCACGUGAACCUAUUUAUUUUGUUGUUUAACAACCAAUUAAAUGUGUUAGUUCAGAUCUGGACAGAAUUGUAAAUUAACAUGUGAUGUCGUUUCGGAGGUGCUAUAUGUCAUUUCUGACCUCAUUUAAAAUGCCUAGAUAGGUAGAUUAAUUGCGCUUCACCUCUUUCCAUGUUUAACCACAUUUAAUAUUGACGUGUACCUAAUCGAGAUAGAACUAAAUAAUUCGUAUGUGGAGUUUCGUCAAUAUGCAACACGUUGCAUAUUGAACUUCACUUAAUGUGUAGUGUCUGUUUGUGUGAAUGGUCAUGUCGUGACUUGCAUGUAUUCAGCUGCUCAUGCAUCAUAUGUGUUGUGCAUCGUGUGGUGAAUUCCGUGUGUUGAUUUAUGUUUCCGGUUUGCUUCGUCUCGAUAGAGUUCCGCAGCGUGUCGGAUUGUGAGGACCCGUUCGACUACGUCGGUUCGUCUGCUUCACGGAGGCAUUCUUCUUCCAAGCGGGAUCUCAGGCAAGAUGACCAUUUCCCCAAAUACCAUUACUAUCAUUGCCAUGCUAGUUUUACCGUUGCUACCGUUUAUGUCUCGUUGCCUACCACAUGUUAAAUAUCAGCCUGUCAACAAUGCCAUGAAAACCUUUAACUUGUUCAACUUAGAAAACCACUGAUUGGCUAUGUUACUGCUUGCUUAACCCUCAGUUAGCGUUGCUAGUUGCAGGUGCAGUUGCUUCCAUGUGAAAAUAUGGGUUCCUCGUUAUAUCACCAUAUUAAAUGCUAUUUAAUUUAAUGCACCUAUAUACUUGGUAAAAGGUGGAAGGCUUGGCCUUUCUAGCCUGGUGUUUUGUUCCACCUUUGCCCCCUUAGUUUCCGGCUACCGGUGUUAUGUUCCAUAAUUGAGCGCUCCUAACACGAUCGGGGUUGUUAUGGGGACCCCCUUGAUAAUUCGUUUUAGAUUAAAGCUGGUCUGGCAAGGCCCAACAUUGGUACUACAUUUGCCUAAUCACCUAAUAAAAUUGCAUAGGGACUUUCCGGACCCCGAGGAUAAUUUAAUCAACCCCCCCCCCCCNNNNNNNNNNNNNNNNNNNNNNNNNNNNNNNNNNNNNNNNNNNNNNNNNNNNNNNNNNNNNNNNNNNNNNNNNNNNNNNNNNNNNNNNNNNNNNNNNNNNAAUGUUAUGUAUAUGCGUAUCGCUAUCAAGAUUCAAUAUGAACAAUCCUCUCACAUUGGGUGCAUGACCAUAAAAGAUGUUACUCAUAGAAAUAGAACAACCAUUAUUCUCUGACUUAAAAGAGUAACCGUCUCGCAAUAAACAAGAUCCAGAUAUAAUGUUCAUGCUCAACGCAGGCACUAAAUAACAAUAAUUUAAGUUCAUCACUAAUCCUGAUGGUAACUGAAGUGAAACUGUGCCGACGGCGAUUGCAUCAACCUUGGAACCAUUUCCUACGCGCAUCGUCACUUCAUCUUUCGCCAGCCUUCGUCUAUUCCGUAGUUCCUGUUUCGAAUUGCAGAUAUGAGCAACAGAACCGGUAUCGAAUACCCAGGCACUACUACGAGAACCGGUUAAGUACACAUCAAUAACAUGUAUAUCAAAUAUACCUGAUUUUUCUUUGCCCGCCUUCUUAUCUGCCAGAUACUUGGGGCAAUUGCGCUUCCAGUGACCCAUACCCUUGCAAUAGAAGCACUCUGUUUCAGGCUUAGGUCCAGCUUUGGGUUUCUUCGGCGGAUUGGCAACAGGCUUGCCGCUCUUCUUAGAAUUUCCCUUCUUGCCUUUGCCGUUUCUCUUGAAACUAGUGGUCUUGCUCACCAUCAACACUUGAUGCUCUUUACGGAGUUCAGACUCUGCGACUUUCAGCAUCGCAAACAACUCGCCGGGUGACUUGUUCAUCCCUUGCAUGUUGUAGUUCAACACAAAGCCUUUAUAGCUUGGCGGUAGCGAUUGAAGGAUUCUGUCAGUGAUAGCUUCUUGCGGGAGUUCAAUCCCCAGCUCAGCUAGACGGUUUGAGUACCCAGACAUUUUGAGCACAUGUUCACUGACAGACGAGUUUUCCUCCAUCUUGCAAGCAUAGAAUUUAUUGGAGGUCUCAUACCUCUCGAUCCGGACGUUCUUCUGAAAGAUAAACUUCAACUCCUGGAACAUCUCAAAUGCUCCAUGAUGCUCAAAGCGACGUUGAAGUCCCGGUUCUAAGCCAUACAAGACUGCACAUUGAACUAUCGAGUAGUCCUCCUUACGCGCUAACCAAGCGUUCUUAACAUCCUGAUCAGCCGUAGCGGGUGGUUCAUCUCCUAGCGCAGCAUUAAGGACAUAAUCCUUCUUUCCAGCUUGUAAGAUUAGCCUAAGAUUACGAGCCUAGUCUACAAAGUUGCUUCCAUCAUCUUUCAACUUAGCUUUCUCUAGGAACGUAUUAAAAUUCAGGAUGACACUUGCGUGAGCCAUGAUCUACAACACAAAUACAUUCAAAGUGGACUUAGACUAUGUUCAAGAUAAUUAGAGUUCAACUUAAUCAAAUUAUAUGCUAAACUCCCACUCAAAAAGUACAUCUCUCUAGUCAUUUGAGUGGUUCAUGAUCCACUUACACUAGCUCAAGUCCGAUCAUCACGUGAGUUGAGUAUAGUUUCAGUGGUAAGCAUCCCUAUGCUAAUCAUAUCAUCUAUAUGAUUCAUGAUCGACCUUUCGGCCUCACGUGUUCCGAGGCCAUGUCUGCACAUGCUAGGCUCGUCAAGCUUAACCCGAGUGUUCCGCGUGCGCAACUGUUUUGCACCCGUUGUAUGUGAACGUUGAGUCUAUCACACCCGAUCAUCACGUGGUGUAUCGAAACAACGAACUGUAGCAACGGUGCACAGUCGGGGAGAACACAAUUUCGUCUUGAAAUUUUAGUGAGAGAUCACCUCAUAAUGCUACCGUCGUUCUAAGCAAAAUAAGGUGCAUAAAAGGAUUAACAUCACAUGCAAUUCAUAAGUGACAUGAUAUGGCCAUCAUCACGUGCUUCUUGAUCUCCAUCACCAAAGCACCGGCACGAUCUUCUUGUCACCGGCGCCACACCAUGAUCAUCCAUCAACGUGUUGCCAUCGGGGUUGUCGUGCUACUUAUGCUAUUACUACUAAAGCUACAUCCUAGCAAAAUAGUAAACGCAUCUGCAAACACAAACGUUAGUAUAAAGACAACCCUAUGGCUCCUGCCGGUUGCCGUACCAUCGACGUGCAAGUCGAUAUUUCUAUUACAACAUGAUCAUCUCAUACAUCCAAUAUAUCACAUCACAUCGUUGGCCAUAUCACAUCACAAUCAUACCCUGCAAAAACAAGUUAGACGUCCUCUAAUUUUGUUGUUGCAAGUUUUACGUGGUGACCAAGGGUAUCUAGUAGGAUCGCAUCUUACUUACGCAAACACCACAACGGAGAUAUAUGAGUUGCUAUUUAACCUCAUCCAAGGACCUCCUCGGUCAAAUCCGAUUCAACUAAAGUUGGAGAAACCGUCACUUGCCAGUCAUCUUUGAGCAAGGGGGUUACUCGUAACGAUGAAACCAGUCUCUCGUAAGCGUACGAGUAAUGUCGGUCCAAGCCNNNNNNNNNNACAGUUGCCAGUCAUCUUUGAGCAACGGGGUUACUCGUAGCGAUGAAACCAGUCUCUCGUAAGCGUACGAGUAAUGUCGGUCCAAGCCGCUUCAAUCCAACAAUACCGCGGAAUCAAGAAAAGACUAAGGAGGGCAGCAAAACGCACAUCACCGCCCACAAAAACUUUUGUGAUCUACUCGAGAAGACAUCUACGCAUGAACCUAGCUCAUGAUGCCUGAUNNNNNNNNNNNNNNNNNNNNNNNNNNNNNNNNNNNNNNNNNNNNNNNNNNNNNNNNNNNNNNNNNNNNNNNNNNNNNNNNNNNNNNNNNNNNNNNNNNNNGCCUCUCCCGCUCGCCGCGCCGCGCCUCCUCCCCCGCUCGCCGCGCCGCGUCGCUCGCCCCCGCUCCUCCAUCAUAUAGGUUACCUUGAUUCACCUCAUAUGCAGCCUGCUUGGACUUCUUAUCAAACACCAUUCUCGACAUGACACAUAAAAGGUCUUCAGAAUCCGAAUUAACAUGAGAGAUAGAGAUGGUUAAGUUAGCAAAUGGUAAUAAUNNNNNNNNNNNNNNNNNNNNNNNNNNNNNNNNNNNNNNNNNNNNNNNNNNNNNNNNNNNNNNNNNNNNNNNNNNNNNNNNNNNNNNNNNNNNNNNNNNNNNNNNNNNNNNNNNNNNNNNNNNNNNNNNNNNNNNNNNNNNNNNNNNNNNNNNNNNNNNNNNNNNNNNNNNNNNNNNNNNNNNNNNNNNNNNNNNNNNNUCUCCUUUUUCUCCUCCUUAUCCCCCUACAAGAAAAAAAUAUCACCACAAUGUAAUCAGAAAUUUGUGCCAUUUUUCGACNNNNNNNNNNACCUACUUGGACUUCUUAUCAAACACCAUUCUUGACAUGACACAUAAAAGGUCUUCAGAAUCUGAAUUAACAUGAGAGAUAGAGAUGGUUAAGUUAGCAAAUGGUAAUAAUAAGGGUAAAUCAAGAAUCAAUGUGGAAGAUCAAUGUAGAUGAACCGCAGUAGCACUAAUCGCUUAGCCAAGUCUAUACCUAUCCUAUGAAGAGGACCNNNNNNNNNNNNNNNNNNNNNNNNNNNNNNNNNNNNNNNNNNNNNNNNNNNNNNNNNNNNNNNNNNNNNNNNNNNNNNNNNNNNNNNNNNNNNNNNNNNNAUGUAGGAUUAAAAAAAAAUUAAGUCUGUCCUUUUCUGUCUAAUAUACAUUUGUGUCUAGACCAAGAUGACUGCCUCUUUUAUAUUGCAUUUUGCCGGCUAUCGUGGCUAGUUGGCGUCCUGUUUUUAGCUGCUUAUAUUAAUAACAACUAUGAUUGGCUGUAGCAUCCUUCAGCUAAAAUUUAUUAUUAUCUCGGUUUGUAUUGACUCAGGAGUAUGGGUUAGUGCAAAUUCACCAUGUUGAUGUAGGUUGUCUUUUUUCUUUUUAUUUUGUGGGUGUUGCUGUAGUUUGUCAUGUCAGAUUCACAAUUGAUUUNNNNNNNNNNGAAAUUUAUUAUUAUCUCGGUUUGUAUUGCCUCAGGAGUAUGGGUUACUGCAAAUUCACCAUGUUGCUGUAGGUUGUCUUUUUUAAUUUUUUUUGUGGGUGUUGCUGUAGUUUGUCAUGUCAGAUUCACAAUUGAUUUUGGAAUAUGCGAUUUUGAAACAUGCAGCUAACCCAGAUUGGAAUUCAGGCAUGACGUUAUCAGUUUUAAAAGCAUUCUCUAAGUAGGCACAAAUCAUCAACAAAGCAUUGCCAGAAUACUAAGUCUCAUACAUUACAGAAAGAUCCUACAUGCGGGAUAUAAGAAUGACUACAGCACACGGUUAAUGUUGACGGCUACGUUUGUCGCUGUGGUACCUGUUUUCGGGAGGCGUCUCGGCAUGCGCGUAGGGUCGGGGCCUCGGGCUGUUUCGAGGGGGGGGGGNNNNNNNNNNNNNNNNNNNNNNNNNNNNNNNNNNNNNNNNNNNNNNNNNNNNNNNNNNNNNNNNNNNNNNNNNNNNNNNNNNNNNNNNNNNNNNNNNNNNGUUUUGUGUGUAUCAAACGUCGCAACGUAAUUGGGUGACUAUAAAGAUGCUCUACAGGUAUCUCCGAAGGUGUUAGUUGNNNNNNNNNNGAAUGCUUUGUGUGUAUCAAACGUCGCAACGUAACUGGGUGACUAUAAAGAUGCUCUACAGGUAUCUCCGAAGGUGUCAGUUGAUUUAGUAUGGAUCAAGACUGGGAUUUGUCACUCCGUGUGACGGAGAGGUAUCUCNNNNNNNNNNNNNNNNNNNNNNNNNNNNNNNNNNNNNNNNNNNNNNNNNNNNNNNNNNNNNNNNNNNNNNNNNNNNNNNNNNNNNNNNNNNNNNNNNNNNNNNNNNNNNNNNGACUUAGUGUAAGUUGCGGGAUCUUGUAUUACGGAACGAGUAAAGAGACUUGCCGGUAAACGAGAUUGAAAUAGGUAUGCAGAUACCGACGAUCGAAUCUCGGGCAAGUAACAUACCGAAGGACAAAGGGAAUGACAUACGGGAUUAUAUGAAUCCUUGGCACUGAGGUUCAAACGAUAAGAUCUUCGUAGAAUAUGUAGGAUCCAAUAUGGGCAUCCAGGUCCCGCUAUUGGAUAUUGACCGAGUCUCUCGGGUCAUGUCUACAUAGUUCUCGAACCCGCAGGGUCUGCACACUUAAGGUUCGGCGUUGUUUUAUGCGUAUUUGAGUUAUAUGGUUGGUUACCGAAUGUUGUUUGGAGUCCCGGAUGAGAUCACGGACGUUACGAGGGUUUCCGGAAUGGUCCGGAAACGAAGAUUGAUAUAUAGGAUGNNNNNNNNNNUCUAUUGGAUAUUGACCGAGGAGUCUCUCGGGUCAUGUCUACAUAGUUCUCGAACCCGCAGGGUCUGCACACUUAAGGUUCGACGUUGUUUUAUGCGUAUUUGAGUUAUAUGGUUGCUUACCGAAUGUUGUUCGGAGUUCCGGAUGAGAUCACGGAUGUCACGAGGGUUUCCGGAAUGGUCCGGAAACGAAGAUUGAUAUAUAGGAUGACCUCAUUUGAUUACCGGAAGGUUUUCGGAGUUACCGGGAAUGUACCGGGAAUGACGAAUGGGUUCCGGGAGUUCACCGGGGGGGGCAACCCACCCCGGGGAAGCCCAUAGGCUUUGGGGAGACACACCAGCCCUUAGUGGGCUGGUGGGACAGCCCCAAGGGGGCCUAGGCGCCAAGAGAAGGAAAUCAAAGGAAAAGAAAAAAAAAGAGGGAAGAAGUGGGAAGGGAGGGGGACUCCUCCCACCAAACCAAGUCCAACUCGGUUUGGGGGGGNNNNNNNNNNAGGGGGGCAACCCACUCCGGGGAAGCCCAUAGGCAUUUGAGGGGGUCACACCAGCCCUUAGUGGGCUGGUGGGACAGCCCACCAAUCCCCUAUGCGCCAAGAAAGAAAAAAUCAAAGGAAAGAAAAAAAAAGGAAGAAGUGGGAAGGGGGAAGGACUCCCUCCCACCAAACCAAGUAGGACUCGGUUUGGGGGGGGGGAGAGUCCUCCCCCCUGGCUCGGCCGACCCCUUGGGGAUCCCUUGGACCCCAAGGCAAGGUCCCCCUCCCUCCUCCUAUAUAUAUGGGGCUUUUAGGGCAGAUUAGAGACAACUUUCUCACGGCUGCCCGACCACAUACCUCCAUAGUUUUUUCUCUAGAUCGCGUUUCUGCGGAGCUCGGGCGGAGCCCUGAUGAGACGAGAUCAUCACCAACCUCCGGAGCGCCGUCACGCUGCCGGAGNNNNNNNNNNUGAGACGGCUUUCUCACGGCUGCCCUACCACAUACCUCCAUAGUUUUUCCUCUGGAUCGUGUUUCUGCGGAGCUCGGGCGGAGCCCUGCUGAGACAAGAUCAUCACCAACCUCCGGAGCGCCGUCACGCUGCCGGAGAACUCUUNNNNNNNNNNAUCGCGUUUCUGCGGAGCUCGGGCGGAGCCCUGCUGAGACGAGAUCAUCACCAACCUCCGGAGCGCCGUCACGCUGCCGGAGAACUCUUCUACCUCUCCGUCUCUCUUGCUGGAUCAAGAAGGCCGAGAUCAUCGUCGAGCUGUACGUGUGCUGAACGCGGAGGUGCCGUCCGUUCGGUACUAGAUCGUGGGACUGAUCGCGGGAUUGUUCGCGGGGCGGAUCGAGGGACGUGAGGACGUUCCACUACAUCAACCGCGUUCUCUAACGCUUCUCCUGUACGAUCUACAAGGGUACGUAGAUCACUCAUCCCCUCUCNNNNNNNNNNACGGGGCAGAUCGAGGGCCGUGAGGACGUUCCACUACAUCAACCGCGUUCACUAACACUUCUGCUGUACGGUCUACAAGGGUACGUAGAUCACUCAUCCCCUCUCGUAGAUGGACAUCACCAUGAUAGGUCUUCGUGCGCGUAGGAAAUUUUUUGUUUCCCAUGCGACGUUCCCCAACAAUUCUUAUAUCCCGCGUGUAGGAUCUUUCUGUAAUGUAUGAGACUUAGUAUUCUGGAGUGCUUUGUUGAUGAUUUGUGCCUACUUAGAGAAUGCUUUUAAAACUGANNNNNNNNNNNNNNNNNNNNNNNNNNNNNNNNNNNNNNNNNNNNNNNNNNNNNNNNNNNNNNNNNNNNNNNNNNNNNNNNNNNNNNNNNNNNNNNNNNNNUCUAAUGCACACACGCAACCACAUAGAACAACUUUUAGGACAUAGCAAUACUAAAACAGUACUGUAUAAACCAAAUAACAGGCAGAUAAGAUCAAGACAUUCAAAAUCAUCAAAAUAGCCCGAAGAGAUACCCGUCGAAUCUAAUAGAACUCAUUCUUCUACCCCUUUGGCACCAAAACACUAAAAAGAGAUAAGAAAAGCCAUGUUGGCACAUAGCCCACUACUCAUCAUCAUCUUCGCCAUCAUAGAAGUCAUCGAAGUUGAGAUCUUUGGGAAUCUUCUCCUCGUUAUUGGGCUUGUUGACUUCAUCAUCACAAUAUAAGGGAUCCUUAAACUCUUUGAGGCGUUUGCUCUCAUCUUCAAACCCAAAUGACACGUUCUCGCUAUUGCGGUGACACUCUUUGAUUGCGGCGACACUCUUUGAUAGUGUUUGAAGCACUAGGAUUUCUUUCACUCGAUGCCUCAUGCUAGCGCAGUCCGCCGUGCACACACAAGCGCAGUACAAUCACCACUAGUGGAGAAAUGGCUAGUCAUAAUUUACGUUGGUGGCGUCCAAAUUUAACGCGAGGUGAGCACUUUUUUUCUCAAAUAAUGAUGGCGUUGGACGAAUUGGUUUGUCGACUUUGUGUACUUAGUGCUGGCGUGGAUUUAGAGUGGAAUACCACCAAAAUGUGGGCCCUGCUUAGCUGAUGAGUUAGAAUAUAUUACUGACAUCGGACAUGCUGCGACGCCACAGAUAUAUUAUAUAGUGCUGUCGUCCGUUACUCGUGAACGCCAGCGGUAAGUUUUGGCCUAUAUAAGCCAGUGUUGGGUUUCCAAAAUACAUUCACUUCUAAUUCUUCUACCUAACUAGUUAUAGGUCCUCUUAGUUAUGGACCCACGUCGACGAAGCAUGUCGAAAGUUUGAGACUCCCUGCCCUAGCCGAGCUUCCGUAUGGCCCUGUUGUCUACGCCAUGAGCUCCCCACGGUCAAUGCAGCCGGCCCUGUUCAGCGAAUCAUCCCGUCGUAGCAGCGCGAUUUCCGUUCAUUUCGGCAGAUGUGCCACCAGCGUUGAAGAUAUCGGCCAUGUGCUGCUCUGCGGCUAUCGACGCCCUGUUUAUAAGCAUAUGUUGCACACAUAACGGAAUCGAGAGCGAGAGUUCUACAUCCGCGCCAACCGUGGAAAGAUACAUAUAUUACCAAAAAUAUAUCUUAAUCUAUUUUCAGAUAAUUUGCACAAUUCAGCUCCUCUAGUGUCGCUCACAUCAAUAUGUGCAAUAUAUAUAUCGUGCUCCAUAAAAAACAGAGGGAAAACAUUGCUUCACAUGGAUAUGGGUUGAUCUUGUCCAAAAGUACGUAAGCGAGUUGCUCGACUACUCCAUUGAACCACCGAGAUGAUAGAUAGAUGAGAUGCAACUCAAGAACGUUGUGAUACAAGGCCAAAUAAUUUUUUUUAAGAUGCUUCGAUAUGCACUUUUAGCUGGUUGCAUGCUUGGCCUAUUUGUCCCAGCUGGAUCGAUGGCAGCAUUUUCUUCUCGUGGCCGUCAUCGCAUUGAUGAUGUUCUUAGUCUAGAUUUAAUUGUAAAUUAUAAUUUUCAUUAUUAACUAUCCUUAUAUAAUGUAUAUAUGUAAGCAGAUCAAAUUAAUUAACGAAAUCUAUGUUGUUCUCAUCUAUAUGUAUUAUAUUUUAAACUUUUAUUUUAAUCCUUCAUCUAUGUAUUCACAAAAAAAAUCAUAAUUAAUGAAAUAAAUAAAGCAACAAAUAAUAAAAUACAAUAAAAUGCAUAGCAAAUGGAGUUGAACACGUGGACCAAUGCUACCAAACACAUCAUCGACUGUCAAAUCCAACCACCCAUAUACACACCCGAUCUAUUCCCCACCCAAACCCCCCCAAAUCAAUCCCAAUCACCCGACUCGGCCGCCGCCACCGACGACCAAGGCCACGGCCGCCGUCGCCAUCUCCGACUCCACACAACGUCGUCUUCGUCUCCAGCUCCACCGUUGUCGUCGCCUUCUCCGCGCCUCCAUCGCCGCCGUGUCAAGGAUCCGUCAGCCCCUCGCCUUCACUGCCAUCGUCAUCUCCGUCGUCGUCCCCUCCGCGUGGUCUCCAUCGUCGUCUUCUCCAUCGCUGCCAUCAAGACUUGCCAGCCCCGUCGUCUCCAUCGCCGGUGAGCAAUUGUAGGGUCAAGUUUAGUGUAGCCGUGUAUGUAGUGUAAGAACGUAGUGUAAAUUUUUAGGUUGGUUGUAUAGUGCAGAUUUUAGUGUAGUUUUGUAGUUUCAGAUUUUAGUGUAUAGUUGCAUAGUGUAGAUUUGUGAUGUAAUUUUAGUUUCAGAUUUUAGUGUAGUGGUGUGUAGUGUAGUUAAUAGGACAAUUGUUGUUUCAUAUUGUAGUGUAAUUGUGUAGUGUAAUUUUUUAGGAUAAUUAUAUUUUCAGAUUUUAGUGUAGUUGUGUAGUGUAUUUUUUAGGGUAAUUUUAGUUUCAGCUAGCUAUUUCGUAUAUGAAUGACUAUUUAACUUUAUGUAUGUUAUUAUAUGUUUAAACUGUGACCGUUUCUAGAAUUGCUUAAUUACUAGUAUAUGUUCAAUUUUGAUUUAUUAGUUAUUUAGUUUAAUGAUCUAUGCUUACUUUGAUCAACAAUAUUGACAACAGUAAAUGGAGGCCCCGUGUAAGAACUGUAGUGCUUUGAAAUGCCAGAAGGAUAGGAAGUUCUUCAUUGACCUUUCGAAAAACUUCAUCACAAUGACGGUAUAUAUAUGAUUUAGUUAAACAUGUUUUGAUUGAGUUUCAUAUGGCAUGGUUGUUGUCGAAAUUAUCUAACUAUUUAUUUUUCCAAUUUUACUCAGGUCAUCAUUGCGGGGCAAGGCUUGACUUCUUAGAGGAGUUUCAAGUUCCGCUUGAUGCAACCAUCACAUUCCAAUGUACCCUCAUGAAGAUGUCGACGGUCCAAUAAUUCAAUUGUCUUGCCACCACUGAGCCAACUCGCACCUAUUUCGGCUGUUCUGGUUGGACAAUUCUUGCAACUGAUUACGAGAUGGAAGCUGGGGAGAGAGCCACGCGCGUUUUACCUUGACUACGAUCGUGGUCUACUACAUGCCUGUUGGCAAUAAUGAUGAUGAUCCACUUACUCCAGACUAUGAUCUUGACUCUGCCCGCCGUAAUGUCGAGUUAGCUGGCGAGUAGGCUUACAGUUGUCGCCUCCCGUUUCAUUGAAGUUAUAUACUUGUGUUAUUUUCCUAUUUUGAUACUUUUUUGAAUAAUUUUAAAUAAAUGGGUACCGUUAAACUUAGAUUCUGGUAUUUGAAUUGUAUUGUUUAAUUAUUGUUCUAAACUUUGAUUAUGUUGCCAUUUUGGUUUGAUCGUGGUGCUAUACAAAUUUGGUUUAAAUCUAAAAAUGAAGUUGCUGCGUCGCACUAACAUGCAAUGUCACUACUGACAUAUAUUAGUGAUGGCGUUGGCUACAUGGCACGCCAUAAACAUGUUAAAUACUAUUGUUGUCGUCACCAACGGCAACACUAUUUUUUAACAGUAGCACGAUAUUGAUGACGUCGGAUGCCUACGUCAGCAAAAUCGUUUUUGUCAUGCCAUAGCUAGGCUUUUCUACACUAGUGCACGCCCCUCGCAUGGGUUAAUAAGACAUCACUCGCCUGUGCACAUGCAAGAAGUGCACACGAAAGAAGAUGCAUUUGCACCCGAGCAACCACCAUGACAACAACGACGGGGCUACAUCCUCGGCUUGGGUCAUUUCCAGCCGAUCCCAAUAUGACCAUAAGGGAGUAAUUUUUUUUGGCUUACUCCCUUACGACCGACCUAGCUGAUCCCCUAAAAAGGUUAACGAAGUAUAUUUUUUACUCCAACUCCCUAUCCUUUAUUUCUAAAUAGCUAUCUCCCACUACUGAUUUUUCCUCGAUUGUAGUGCUGCCACGUCACCUGCUGAUGUAAUUUAUUUUUUUAUUUUAAAGAAUCAUAGAGGACUCCUCUCUUCUGGAAACCGACACCACCGCUUCGUUUCUUCUUCCCCGUCGCAGCGCUCCGUUUCUUCUUCCCCAUCGUAGCGCCCCUUUGCUUCCCAUCUUCUCCACGGACCAUGGCAGUGCUAUUUUGAUUCCCAAGGAUCCCUAUCACCGCCUCCUCUAUUUUUCAUGGCAGCACCUCCCCCUUUUCACCUUUCCAAAUCUCCAACAGAUUCCAGUAUUUUCUUGCAACAGAGACCGGUAGAUCUAUAUCCCCUUCCUCCUGCAGGGUAUGCAGUUCCUAUCCAAUUAAGCAGCGGAGGUGCAACGUUCCCGUCGUCUCCAUAACUUCUAGGUCUCUGCUGUUCACCACUUCACGUCUUCCCAGUCGGUUCUUCAGACGUUGGCUGACCAGCACCGAGGUCCACAAGAAAAGCUCCACAUGAUUUAUCAAGUAGCAGGUCUUCAGUUGAUUGGUUCAGUCCUGGAAGGUACAUUUAUUUCAGUUAUUUGUUUAUCACUGAUCUUAGUUUUUUUGCCAGUGAUCUUAGUUUACAGUAAAGUGGUUCUUGAUUUUUUUUGUAUUACACCUCCCUUAUUUAACAAUGGAACCGGUGAUUUAUCAAUUGUUUAUAGUAGAACUGCAUGUAGUCUUCAUAGUUUGAUUAAUUCAGUGCUUGAACAUAUUUUUGUUUGAAUUAUUUGUUUGCCACUGAUCUAAUGUGUGCUUGAACAGUUAUUCAUCCUUUUGAUAUCAUGUAAUCAGAAGUUUUGUGGUGUUAUCCCAAAGCAAAGAUCAAUAAGAUUUUUUUUCAUUCUUCUUGGAACCAUAUAUGAAUGACAUAUGUGCACACUUUCUUAUUAUUUGAUUUUUUGUAACUUGCCGCUCGCUCAGUUACGACAAAACAACGAUGAUCCCCUGUCGGUGAUAUCUCGAGUGUUGGAGUACUACUGAAGGGAUCUAUGCAGAGCAAUUGAGCUCAGUGUCGUGAUCUUCCAUCAUUAGUGAUUUUGAUAUUUGACAAAUAUCGCUUGCUGGUACCACUACAAGAAAAACACUCAUUUAUGACAAAAAAUAGUGACGGGGUUUUAAUUGGUCAUAGAUCUAUGACCAAAUUUCAAAAAUAGGUCAUCGAGAGUCUGCGAGGGUCCAGACUCCAUAAUAUCAUGACCAUUGGUGCCCAUAAGGUCAAUAAUCUUAUUACAAAAAUGGUCAUUAAGCUUACUACCAUUCUUGAUGAUCUUAUUCUCAACUCGUCAUGACCAAAUUACAAGGUCAUAAUCCUCUGGCUGGAGGUGACUGGAUGACACAUCGACAAUUGUGUCUAUGUGUCGAGCCUACUUGACAAAUUUUCCUAUGUUCGGACUGCAAAGUACAAGUGUAGUAAUGUAUCCUAACUGGGCGAUGAGGCCCACAUAUCACAUGAGGGCCAAAAUAUAAAAGAUUUCAUUUCUAUUUGCUUUUGGGAUGUGAAUUUAUUGUCAUUAUUGGGUUAUCAGAGAUGUCAUACACGUCCAGGUUUUACUAUAAGAAAAAUUCCAUUUAUGGACCGUGAAUUCGUUUCUAUACCAUAUAUUGAUUUGGUUUAUUGUGUUACUUUUUUAUGAAAAUGAAAAAGGGAUGAAAAAGGGAAAAUAAAUAGGUGAAGGUUGGGAGUUUGGAUGAAGGGGUGGCGGGAGAAAACAUAGUUUGAGAUAAAACCGUAGGUUCUUUUUAAAUAGUGUGGAGAAAGAGAUAUACAUAGAGACAUUUUUUCAAUAUUGAAACAUUUUCAAUCUUUUGAGUAUUCAAAAUUGUUCAAUACUUCUAUUAAAUUUUGUGAUGUUUACUGUGAUUAUUGAAUCCAAAUAAAACGAUGCCCUUGACCUCGUCACCGGUGCCCACGAGGGCGGUUAUGGGUCGAGGGACAUGAUGAGACACUGCGCCGUGGGCUCACCGCCAUCCUCUUUGAAUUGUACACAAAUUUUGUGAGUAUUUAGAAAACAAUGGGCAAACCUAUUUUCGUCGUUUUCUCACCGUCCAUUCAUGCAUGCACUUCUCUUUUGAGUGGCUGAGCAAUGCUUCCAUUUUAUCCUUUGCCGAGUGUCACCAAGAAUAGGCAUAAUCAUCAAUUUUGGUAGUCUUGAUACCCCACUAAUUUUACGUGCAUAUAUUUACUUUUUAGAAUAUUUUUAGAAACAUAAGAUUUAUAUUGGUUUUCUAAAUAGAUAUUUUGAGAUAAAGUUUUCUAAAUAGAUGAAAUUUGGAUCAACCUCACGUGUUGAUGAUGGGCUGAAGCCCACCAAACUAUCUAGGGUUGCCAACCGAAGCAUACAUACAUAAGUUCAUCCCACGGGUGUUUCCCUCUUCUCCCUCUACCCUAGCCGCCACUCUUCUUCUAUCCUCCGGCGUCGUGACUCCUUUGCAGUUCUUCCUCCGAAGCUCCACCCCCUCCCCUGCAGCUUCUCUUGUUGCCCCCACUUCGCGACUCCAGGGGUUGAUGAUUUGCUGCCGCUGAAGUUCCCCUGCGCGGAGUGGCGGGGCGUGUACGACCGACUCCAGGGGCUGUUGCCGCAGGUCGAGACGCUCGCCUGGAGGAGGCCCUCAGGCUGUCUGACGCCCGCGAGAAGAGACUCCUUGCCCGCCUCCUCCAGGUGAUAUCCAUUUGCUCAAAUGUCCGUGAGAUUCCGUCUAGGGUUUUCAUCUAUUUGGCGCCUGAUGGUUGAUGAUGAUGGCUCUUGUGUUUGCGAUUGAUGAUUGAAGGCAGAGGUGAGCAGCGAGAGGUGGAAGGUGGCCUACGCCGAGCUGCCUCCCGGUGCCAACCCCAAGCUCGCCGGUAAGAGCAAUCUCUCAUCCUCUUCUCUCUUUUGGAUGAAUGAUGUGGGUAAAACAAUUGGCAUCAAUUCCCCAUUUUGGCUCAACCCCAUGCAGGUUCGCUAGAGAUGGAUCCAUAGGAGCGCCGCCGGCAGCUCAAUCUAUUUAACGUAAGGUCACUUACUCUUUCUUAGUCACUUGGUUCCAUUUUUUAUUGGACUUUUCUGUAUCUAAACUUCUGAAUUUUGUGCGGGUGUGAAAGCCAAAACUAAACUAAUACUACAGGGAUCUUAUGAUAUUCACAUUUCCUGGUUGUCUUUUGAUCCAGGCAACAAGACCUAGUUGUUGCUUGGGUACGAUUUGCAUGUUUAUCAUGGGAAAAAUUAGACAUACAUGAAGUACUCAGGGGAGAAAACACAACAACUGUUUAGGAAAAACAGAUGAGCAGACACAGUCUGGUUUUAGUCUGGUUUAAGGCAUCUGUUAAGAUUGGUAAGCUUUCACUUCUGAGCUGUAAUAAUUCAUUCAGCGACCAGCAGUAAUAAUUCAUCUUAUUAUUAUUAUUCUAUCUAGUCAUAUGUGCCACUCAACUGAACUAUUUUUCAUAUACUAUAUAUUCUGUUUGGUUGGUUGCGAUUCUAAAUAACUGUUGUUGGUUGCUGGAGCAGAAGCACUAAAGCUUGAAGUUUGAAGUUCUGGAAUGGGAGCGAUACUGCUUUUGUUUAUUUUGUGUUUCUAAAUUUAAGUCGAACUAUGUGUCAUGUGUCUCAAACUUUAAUCGUUAUGUCAUGUUUGAGAUUUUGUUUCGUUUGAGACUGUGAGUCAAGAUAUGCUUUUGUGCAGUCUGUCUACGUCAAUUUGUUUUUGCAUGAGGUAACUCUCGGCCAGGCAAUUACAUACUAUUAUUAAAUGAUUGAGGUGGCAGACUAUUCCAGCUAAGUGUGAGGGAUGCUGAAGUGGUUGUGGUUCCUCAUAUUAUUAAAUGAAUCUGGGUCUGUUCUGUCAGACCGAUGACCGAACCGAACUCUCGGUCCAAGAAAAGGCUCGGUUAGUACUUUUUCCAUUGACCGAUCGGUCAUUGUUUUUGCAAAACUGAAUUUUUUCAAACACUGAAGUACCGACCGGAAUGGUUCAGGGGAAUCGAAUGCCCAGACCUAAUAAAAUGCUAUAUGUGCCAUCGCUAACCUCGUUAGUUGAAUUAUGCCUUUCAAAUUACACCAAGUUUCAGUAACCUACAGAGAUAAAUUAGAACUAAGCUUUCAAUUAGAAUCGGUAGAAUGUCCAAUCAAGAGUGCUUAAGUCGCUAAAUAUUUGAACAUUAGUUUCUAGUACAUUCACUUCCUAGUCACUGAAAAUUAUCAUAGCGAAUUGAGUAUACCUAAUUAGAAUUUAAAACCAUAGCCCAAUGCCCUAUGUCAGACAAGACACAGAAUAAAAGUUUAAUCUACUAGCUACAAUUGCAUACAUACAAUUGUUGCAACUUGUAGAAAUCUUUAGAAACAGCAGAAAGAUAUAGAUGGCAGAAUCUAGAUUGACUCAUGAAGUUAAUCUAGACGAAGAAUAGUAUUGUCUAGAGAGAGCUAGCUAGACAUGAAACCACGUUGUGGUGCGUGGUUGUGUGAUCGUGAGGUGUGGACGUGGGUGUUGCAGCGAGUUUGGGCGUGUUUGCCGGUUUGGGCGUGCGUGAUUGGGGUUGCUGGCGUAACCUGACUUGGCCUGUAGGCCUGCCAGCCGGCGAUAAGUUGAGCGCAAAAGACGACCCUGAUGCACUGUUGUCAGGCUACCCAGAUGCCCAGGGCCUUUUAUGUGACAGUUACUACCCUGUAUUUUAUUCUGACUCUAACUGGGUAAUAAGUUGUUUGAGUUUUGUUAGAUGUUCUACUUUACGCGUUAAAUUUUAUAUUUUAGCCAUAUAGGUAAAAUUUUAUUUAAAGAAAACUGAUCUAAUGGUGGCGAGUAGGUAAUGCUGCUAUCUUAUUGUCAUUCAUACAUAUGUAUCUUCAGAUGAAAAAUUAAGGAUAAAGUUCUUCUCCUUCUUUUUAAGGGAAGUUCUUUUCUGGUGCAGAUUGUUACCCAGGGCAGCAAUCAUGUCAUCGGUCUUGACAGCAGCAACUUGCAGGUCUGAACAUGCACCCCCAAGGUAUGGUUCUCAAUGGUAGCUUCACUGAUCGUGCAUAUAUUCAUUGUUGGCAUGAAGUUUCUACCUAAGAAACUCCAGGAAUGUCCUUCUUUCUUAUUUGCUAGAAUAAUUGGAGAAUGUAAUAAUAUUUGUGUAUAUGAUGCCGAAUUUUUUGUCGUAGAAACAGUAGCAAUUAGCAGCACGAACACUGUCUGGGUGGCAAUGCCAUCUUAUACAUAUGUGUUGAUUGGAUUGACCCCGCAGGUACUCGCUCCUCUAAUACAUUGCAGUUUUAUCUUUUGUAGAUUUAUUGAUGAAACUUGGAUCCACGUAUUCACCACAUGAGUGCAGUGUACAAAUAUAUAUAUUUACUCCCUCCGUAAACUAAUAUAAGAGUAUUUAAAACAGUACUUUAGUAAUCUAAACGCUCUUAUAUUAAUUUACAGAGGGAGUACCAAAGAUGUGUUGAAUAGCUAUUUCUUAUAAAGAGUUUCAUUAUUCAUUAGAUCAUUCUAUUUCUUAGUUUCUUUCGGUGAUAUUACUAAUGGUCUAUGUGAUUUUUUUAUUAAAUGAUUUCAAGGCAUGAAUUGGUUAGAAGUGGAAAAGAAACUCCUAAUUAUAUUUGAGAUCAAUAUUAUGUCUUCGGCUACCUGCUAGCUCUGCCCAUUGGAAAUUCUCCGUGUUAUCUUCCAAAGAACCGAUAUGAGAAAAAUGGAAGUACGCAUAUAAAUCUGCAUGCACUAGCAAGUUCCAAAUUGAUGAGUUGAAUGAUGUAUAAUAAUUUUGCAUGGCUGCUAUAUCAGUAAAAAUACGUGGACAAAUGUUUCCUUUUAUCCCUAUGGAUUAUAUUGGCCAUGAGAUCCAUUUGACCAUGCAUGCUUGGGAUUGGGUCUUCACAUUAAUCAUGUUCUACAAAAUGGUGUAUUGUUUUUCUUAUUACCUAUACUGUACAUAAAUAACUUAUAUAUGAUUGAUGUGCACCUAGAAAAGUAUACUUUCAUGCUGGAAUUGUAUUUUAGGUUGGCAUUGUAUGAUUUGGAAAUAAUACUUGUGUUAACCUCACUUUAUUGUGUGUUAACCUCACAAUCUUUCCGUCUGUAUGUUCUUCUCAUUUGUGAUCCUUUUUAAUGUCAGGAUGUCCCUCAAUUCAGAAUUGGCUACUCAGAUGAAGUGGAACAGUGGAAGACGGGCGAAGUUGUGAACAAUUUAAUUUGUGUUUUUUAAUAUGCUCCAUUGAAGCCAGAGUGAUUCCAGCUGUGUGCAUUGUAUUGGAUGUACAAUAGUAACACUUAUUGGAUUUGUAUUGGAGUUGAAGGCUGAACUAUUUUAUGUGAUGCAUGUGUGUAUUGCUGAAAUGAACGGAACUAUUUAUCAUAAUGUGUUUUUCCUUGGAAUUUUCUAUGAUUCCUAGCGUAUAAAAACUGUGUAGAAAUAAGGCCUCGUCCUAGAUAAAAAAUAGUAAUGGGCUGAAAUAUCAAAUAUUGGUUUAUGAACACAGAACAAAAAAUGAAGUCCAAAUGAAAAAUGGGAUGAAUUGUUGGGCCUGGCCCAUUUAGGUGCGUGAUUUGGACAUGCCUAGUAAAAUUGUGACCUUAUUUUUCAGUCAUUGUUGAUCUGCCAUGUCAUCACCUUAGCCAUGCGGUUGAUGCCAUGUCAGAUCCUGCGUGGCUCACGUACACAUGUAAUGACCAAAAAAUUUGGUCAAAGAUUUUAUGACCUAAUUGUUUUGGUCAAACAAUGCUUGACCAAAACACUCAAAAGGUCAUGUUUGUUUGUUCUUAACGGCCAACUGUUGACGCUCUGAAUUUGGUCAAAAAAAGGUCGUAUUAUGAUACCAAUGACGAUUUUUUGACUAAAAUGGUGGGUCAUUAUCGACCAUAUUUCUUGUAGUGUACCGUUUGUGUUGGCUCUGACAGAUCUGCAGCCCUCGAAGUGGCCUCUAUUUUCUGUACCAGAUUCUCCAUGCAACCACUUUCUCAAGUUGUCCCUUGAUUCUGCCCCACCCAUCCAGGUUUUUGUUGAAGAUGAAAGACAAGAUAGUCCACAGAUCAGGUUCGGUUUUGAAAUCGAAUGUUUUCAACUCAUAUGUUUCUAAGACAAUUGCCACUAUUUUUUCUGCUGCAUCUUUGUAUUUUAAUAUCUGCAAUACAAUAUUUAUCUUCCAUGCAAUCUGAGUUCUGUACAUAACAUACCCAAGAAGAAUUACAAAAUGCAGUUCAUCAAAUUGUACACUCGCAAUCUAUAGUGUAGUAACAUCUUUGAAUAUGAAAUUUGUCAUAUCAUUUAUUCAUAUUGUUAUCUUCUUUGGCAUGUGGAUGUUACUCUGAAAACCCACAAAAAAAUCCCGCAGCAACGCGCGGGGCAUUAUCUAAUUCCCUUAGAUUUCCUUAAAUAUACUACAGCGUGCAUCGACCGAGUAAAACUCCCUCUCACCCUCCCGCGUCACACUGCCUCCCGCCCUCGCCCCCGCCACCGAAUGGAUAGCCCCCCUCACCCGGCCAACCAUCGGCGCCGGUUUUUUGCGGCCAGGAAUCAUAGAUGCACCGCUGCUGGUUCUAAAAAAUCUUGAGGAUGACAAAGAACCACUGGGUCCAAGCUCUGCCUACAACUACGCCAAUGGUGUCUAGGGUGACCACCCCUCCGACGCACUUACCUGAGGCAAACGGGCUCGAAAGCCGACGGCGGCGGCGACGGCGCUUGCCGAGGCAGCGUCGACACUCGUCCAGGUGGCCGCCAAGAAGAAGAUGAGAAGACCGCGGCGACGCCUUGUCCAAAGCCUACACCUCGUGCAGCAACUCCGGCUACCCCUACGAGGACUGCUCUUGCACGAGUUGCUGCCGCAUCUGGCAACAAAAAGCGCAUCCGUCAAGUGCUCGAUGAAAUGCCAACAAGGUAAAAAUAAAACCUUGCGUCCCUUUGGUAUUCGACAGUGAUGGUGGCCGAGAGGAGUGGUGGUGAUGGUCACCGAGGGGGUGGUGAUGGUGGCCGACGGGGUGAUGGUGGUGGACGAUAGGGUGGUGGUGGUGGUGACCGAGAGGAUGUCGAGGUUGAUUUCUUUGUCGACGACAUUGUUUGAGUGGUGGUGGCCGAGCGGAUGGUGAUGGUGGCCGANNNNNNNNNNNNNNNNNNNNNNNNNNNNNNNNNUGGUGGCCGAUAGGGUGGUGGUGGUGGUGACCGAGAGGAUCUCGAGGUUGAUUUCUUUGUCGGCGACAUUGUUUGAGUGGUGGUGGCCGAGCGGAUGGUGAUGGUGGCCGAGAGGGUGAUGAUGGUGAUGGUGGCCGAGAGGAUGUCAAGGUUGAUUUCUUUGUUGAAGGCGUCGUUUGAGUGGUGGUGGCCGAGCGGAUGGUGAUGGUGGCCGAAAGGGUGGUGGUGGUCAUGGUGGCCGAGAGGAUGUCAAGGUUGAUUUCCUUGUCGAGGGUGUCGUUUGAGUGGUGGUGGCCGAGCGGAUGGUGAUGGUGGCCGAAAGGNNNNNNNNNNACCGAGAGGAUGUCAAGGUUGAUUUCUUUGUCGAGGGUGUCGUUUGAGUGGUGAUGGCCGAGAGGAUGGUGGUGCAUGUCAAAGAUUGGCUCGAUCCACAACAUAUACAUUGCUAUAUUUGUGGUGAUUUUAAAUCAAAUAUUGUGUUUGAAGUGAUAUCUUUAGGGUGAACUUUACAUAUUUAAAUUUAAAAAACGCAGUGCCGGAACUUUAUGCUAUGAUGAUUAUUGCUAUCAAUGCUUUAAUUUGAAUGAUGUUUGUGCGGCUAGUAUACAAAAUGAUGUUGGUAAAGUAAAAUUUUACUCCACUAACUUUAUUUUAACUUUUACUCCACUAACAUUUAGGGGAUCGAUCGCAAUCGAUGAUGAUUUUGGUUGGUGAUUAAAUGGGAGAUGCACAAUUCAACUACCCAACAAGUGGCUACUUCAGGUCCAAUAUUGAAGCUAACAAGCAAAAUUGAAUCGCGAUUCAGCAUUAUUAUUAAUAAAGGUAUUCUGCCACACAAUUAAUCGCGGGCAGGUUGCAUGUGCUCUCUGGUCCGGGCAUCCAGGCUGAUUAGUGCGCACAACAAUACAUGCAGAGAAAUUCACAUGAGAUGAAAUGGAUCAGCCGAGGCAAGCAAGCCCGCGCGAUGGCAUUUCGAUCGGGCAGCUGAGUUAAUUAAUUGAAGCCAAACCAACUACCAGUGCUAAUCAGAUCGUAGUAGAUGAAAAUUAACCCUCCUGCAUCCAGCAUCCCUGAUGCAGCGUUGCUAGAACUGAGUUGAAGAAGUUCUCCUGUGUGGGCUGCCCUGCUUGUUGCUUGGCUGCUGGGCGUUGAGUGCAGCAAUCUCAGAUUGAAGCUGAAGAGAUGGAGAAAGAAACGUGGGAUUGAGUUCACAAAUUACUCAUGCACAAGCAAGCAAGCAAGCAAGAAAGAGAGAGAGAGAGAGAGAGAUUGAACUGGAAGAAGAAGAAGAGAAGAAGGCGUACCUGCUUGCACUGUCUCUUGAGUUUGAGGUUGUCCUCGACGAGCCGGCGGACCUCCUUCUCGAGCUCCUGCGUGUAGGCCCUCUUCCUGGCCCUGGACCGCAGAGCCGACUCCCUGUUCUUCAUCGCCCGGACGCUCUUCUGGCCGUCGUCGCUGCUGACGGCCAGGUGCUGGUCCUCCCCGCCGGUGCCGAUGCUGAGGGAGAGGGAGGGCAGGCGGGCCGGCCGAACGGCGGUGCUGGAGAUGGAGGGGAGGGAGCUGAAGCCGCUC